rnacentral:lncRNA from 1 species
CUAAGGCUUUCUUUCCGCUUUGACUUGCCUUCCUUAUCUUUCAAUCUGGACUUGCAUGUGUUCCAUGACUAUUUGGCUUUGAGGGACAUCUUCUCUUUCCCUUAUCAAGCAAGUCACACCUAAUCGCCCUUGAUGCCAAACACAAGGAUCCCCUCCUGCUUAUCCACCCACCGUAAACGAUUACUAACGAACUUGGGCAACCCAACUGUGCCUUACAUGUGCUCUACAGACCGCACGUAAUCUUUCUUCCC